rnacentral:piRNA from 1 species
UAGUGAGUCAGUUCACCAAACCAGGA